rnacentral:lncRNA from 1 species
ACCAGUUUAUAUUGUAAACAUGAACCCAGAGUCUCCAUCCAGCAGAGGGCGCCAGGCACCGGAGGAGACCCGCUGCUGACGGAUGAGGCUGUGUGGCUUGCCUGGGCUAACGCCAACUGUGAGCUGUCUGCAGCGGUGGGAUCAUGCUUCAGGGAUGCCAGCAGAAUGCCAGCAGAAUGCCACCCCACUGGCAUGGUGCUAAGCUGGAGGCAGUCACAGAACCUACAUCAACAAGGAGAGGACUGUCCAGCAAGAAUCCCCCAAAAAGAAAAAAAAAAGAACCCCCAAGAGAUUUCUAGGGGCUCCCAUUGGCCUGGGGCUCACUAGGCUCUCCCCCUGGGGUCCCUCCCAGCGCCAUUCCACAGCCAAGGAAACAGAAGCCCAGGAAGGGUAAGUGAAUUAUUGGGCAAAGAGACUCCCCUCCUGAGGUAAAGGAGAUUUUGCAGGCCUGAGGUGGGGCAGAGGGAUGGGGUGGGGGUGGGGUUGGGGGGGGGAGGUUGGGGAUUCCUUAGUCCCACCUCAGCAAUGGGGAUGGGGAUGACCAGCCCGGAAGACAAGGAGGGGAGAGAAGUGACAGAGAAAAGACACAGCAUUGGACUAUGACAUGAGUAAGCACCAAGUCACCCCCAAGAUCCUAGGGGGCCCUAGGUCCCCUUGUUCUUGUACUCCCCAAACCUGUUCCCACGAAAAGCAGAGUCCAACUCUCCUGGGACCCCAGCUCCUUCCUUUCUGCGAGGCAAAAAAAGGGCUGAAGCCCUAGUGAUCACCAGAGCCAGGCACUUCAGAACAAGGCAGGAGUCAAGGGAUCUUUGCCCCCUCCCUCCCUCCCUGCAGUCCUGCCCUCACUCUGCAGGAUUCUGACUUCGGAGAUCUCCGCUAAAAUAUGCCUUUGGCCCUUGUCACGGGCUUUGUUCAGGUCCUAACCCCAGUACCUUGGAAUACGCCCAUAAUGGGAGAAAGGGUCUUUAGAGAGAUGAUCAAAGUAAAAUGAAGUCAUGAGGGUGGGCCCCAAUGCAAUAUGCCUGGUCUCCUCAUAAGAAGAAAACAUUUGGACACAGAUGGGUCUAGAGGACAGAUCAUGUGGAGACGCAGGGAGAAGAUGGCCAUCUGCAAGCCACAGAGAGAGACUUCAGAAGAAACAGCCCUGCCAGCGCCUUGAUCUUGAACUUCCAACCUCCAGACUGUGAGAGAAUAAAUUUGUUAUACCCCAAU